rnacentral:misc_RNA from 1 species
GAUGAAGAACGCAGCAAAAUGCGAUAAGUAAUGUGAAUUGCAGAAUUCAGUGAAUCAUCGAAUCUUUGAACGCACAUUGCGCCCGCUGGUAUUCCGGCGGGCAUGCCUGUUCGAGCGUCAUUUCAACCCUCAAGCCCCCGGGUUUGGUGUUGGGGAUCGGCUCUGCCCUUCUGGGCGGUGCCGCCCCCGAAAUACAUUGGCGGUCUCGCUGCAGCCUCCAUUGCGUAGUAGCUAACACCUCGCAACUGGAACGCGGCGCGGCCAUGCCGUAAAGCCCCAACUUCUGAAUGUUGACCUCGGAUCAGGUAGGAAUACCCGCUGAACUUAAGCAUAUCAAUAAGCGGAGGA